rnacentral:rRNA from 1 species
AGAGUUUGAUCCUGGCUCAGGAUGAACGCUGGCGGCGUGCCUAAUACAUGCAAGUCGAGCGGAAAGGCUCCUACUCUGUGUUUAAAACAUUGAACAUAGUGUUGGAGUACUCGAGCGGCGGACGGCUGAGUAACGCGUAGGAACGUACCCCAAAGUGAGGGAUAAGCACCAGAAAUGGUGUCUAAUACCGCAUGUGGUCUUCGGAUUAAAGCUUCGGCGCUUUGGGAGCGGCCUGCGUAUGAUUAGCUUGUUGGUGAGGUAAUAGCUCACCAAGGCGACGAUCAUUAGCUGGUCUGAGAGGAUGAUCAGCCAGACUGGGACUGAGAACGGCCCAGACUCCUACGGGAGGCAGCAGUAGGGAAUUUUCCACAAUGGGCGAAAGCCUGAUGGAGCAACGCCGCGUGCAGGAUGAAUGCCUUAGGGUUGUAAACUGCUUUUAUCUGUGACGAUUAUGACGGUAGCAGAUGAAUAAGGAUCGGCUAACUCCGUGCCAGCAGCCGCGGUCAUACGGAGGAUCCAAGCGUUAUCCGGAAUUACUGGGCGUAAAGAGUUGCGUAGGUGGCAUUGCAAGUCGGUAGUGAAAGCGUCUCGCUCAACGAGAUAUACAUUAUCGAAACUGCAAAGCUAGAGGACGAGAGAGGUUAUUGGAAUUCCUAGUGUAGGGGUAAAAUCCGUUGAUAUUAGGAGGAACACCGAUGGCGUAGGCAGAUAACUGGCUCGUUCCUGACACUCAGGCACGAAAGCGUGGGGAGCAAACAGGAUUAGAUACCCUGGUAGUCC